rnacentral:rRNA from 1 species
UACGUAGGGGCGGGCGUUGUCCGGAAUUAUUGGGCGUAAAGGGCGUGUAGGCGGUUAUUUAAGUCAGGUGUGAAACACCACGGCUCAACCGUGGGGUUGCACUUGAAACUGGAGGACUUGAGUGCAGGAGAGGAGAGCGGAAUUCCCGGUGUAGCGGUGAAAUGCGUAGAUAUCGGGAAGAACACCAGUGGCGAAGGCGGCUCUCUGGCCUGCAACUGACGCUGAGGCGCGAAAGCUAGGGUAGCGAACGGGAUUAGAUACCCGGGUAGUCCCUGAGCGGGCU